UACGGGGGGGGCAAGCGUUGUUCGGAAUUACUGGGCGUAAAGGGCUCGUAGGCGGCCAAUCAAGUCGGACGUGAAAUCCCCAGGCUCAACCUGGGAACUGCGUCCGAUACUGGUUGGCUUGAAGUCGGGAGAGGGAUGCGGAAUUCCAGGUGUAGCGGUGAAAUGCGUAGAUAUCUGGAGGAACACCGGUGGCGAAGGCGGCAUCCUGGACCGAUCUUGACGCUGAGGAGCGAAAGCUAGGGGAGCAAACGGG
rnacentral:rRNA from 1 species